rnacentral:rRNA from 1 species
AACGCGAAGAACCUUACCUGGUCUUGACAUCCACGGAAGUUUUCAGAGAUGAGAAUGUGCCUUCGGGAACCGUGAGACAGGUGCUGCAUGGCUGUCGUCAGCUCGUGUUGUGAAAUGUUGGGUUAAGUCCCGCAACGAGCGCAACCCUUAUCCUUUGUUGCCAGCGGUCCGGCCGGGAACUCAAAGGAGACUGCCAGUGAUAAACUGGAGGAAGGUGGGGAUGACGUCAAGUCAUCAUGGCCCUUACGUCCAGGGCUACACACGUGCUACAAUGGCGCAUACAAAGAGAAGCGACCUCGCGAGAGCAAGCGGACCUCAUAAAGUGCGUCGUAGUCCGGAUUGGAGUCUGCAACUCGACUCCAUGAAGUCGGAAUCGCUAGUAAUCGUGGAUCAGAAUGCCACGGUGAAUACGUUCCCGGCCUUGUACACACCG